GCUGGUGGGACUACAGGGAGAGCGCCUGCUUCAUGCAGGAGGUCGAUGGUUCAAACCCAUCCCCGGGCG
rnacentral:tRNA from 1 species